rnacentral:rRNA from 1 species
GUGCCAGCCGCCGCGGUAAUACCGGCAGCUCGAGUGAUGUCCAAUAUUAUUGGGCCUAAAGCGUCCGUAGCUGGCCGCGCAAGUCCAUCGGAAAAUCCACCCGCCCAACGGGUGGGCGUCCGGUGGAAACUGUGUGGCUUGGGACCGGAAGGCGCGACGGGUACGUUCGGGGUAGGAGUGAAAUCCCAUAAUCCCGCACGGACCACCGAUGGCGAAAGCACUUCGAGAAAACGGAUCCGACAGUGAGGGACGAAAGCCAGGGUCUCCAACCGGAUUAGAUACCCCAGUAGUCC